rnacentral:rRNA from 1 species
AUUGAACGCUGGCGGCAGGCCUAACACAUGCAAGUCGAGCGGAUGAAGGGAGCUUGCUCCUGGAUUCAGCGGCGGACGGGUGAGUAAUGCCUAGGAAUCUGCCUGGUAGUGGGGGAUAACGUCCGGAAACGGGCGCUAAUACCGCAUACGUCCUGAGGGAGAAAGUGGGGGAUCUUCGGACCUCACGCUAUCAGAUGGGCCUAGGUCGGAUUAGCUAGUUGGUGGGGUAAAGGCCUACCAAGGCGACGAUCCGUAACUGGUCUGAGAGGAUGAUCAGUCACACUGGAACUGAGACACGGUCCAGACUCCUACGGGAGGCAGCAGUGGGAAAUAUUGGACAAUGGGCGAAAGCCUGAUCCAGCCAUGCCGCGUGUGUGAAGAAGGUCUUCGGAUUGUAAAGCACUUUAAGUUGGGAGGAAGGGCAGUAAGUUAAUACCUUGCUGUUUUGACGUUACCAACAGAAUAAGCACCGGCUAACUUCGUG